GUGUAGUUGUAGUAGUGCUCUGUGGUGGUGUUUGGUGUAGUUGUAGUAGUGCUCUGUGGUGGUGUUUGGUGUAGUUGCAGUAGUGCUCUGUGGUGGUGUUUGGUGUAGUUGCAGGAGUGCUCUGUGGUGGUGUUUGGUGUAGUUGCAUUUGUGCUCUGUGGUGGUGUUUGGUGUAGUUGCAUUUGUGCUCUGUGGUGGUGUUUGGUGUAGUUGCAUUUGUGCUCUGUGGUGGUGUUUGGUGUAGUUGCAGCAGUGCUCUGUGGUGGUGUUUGGUGCAGUUGCAUUUGUGCUCUGUGGUGGUGUUUGGUGCAGUUGCAGGAGUGCUCUGUGGUGGUGUUCGGUGUAGUUGUAGUAGUGCUCUGUGGUGGUGUUUGGUGCAGUUGCAGGAGUGCUCUGUGGUGGUGUUUGGUGUAGUUGCAUUUGUGCUCUGUGGUGGUGUUUGGUGCAGUUGCAUUUGUGCUCUGUGGUGGUGUUUGGUGCAGUUGCAGGAGUGCUCUGUGGUGGUGUUUGGUGUAGUUGUAGUAGUGCUCUGUGGUGGUGUUUGGUGUAGUUGUAGUAGUGCUCUGUGGUGGUGUUUGGUGCAGUUGCAGGAGUGCUCUGUGGUGGUGUUUGGUGUAGUUGCAUUUGUGCUCUGUGGUGGUGUUUGGUGCAGUUGCAUUUGUGCUCUGUGGUGGUGUUUGGUGCAGUUGCAGGAGUGCUCUGUGGUGGUGUUUGGUGCAGUUGCAUUUGUGCUCUGUGGUGGUGUUUGGUGUAGUUGUAGUAGUGCUCUGUGGUGGUGUUUGGUGCAGUUGCAGGAGUGCUCUGUGGUGGUGUUUGGUGUAGUUGCAUUUGUGCUCUGUGGUGGUGUUUGGUGCAGUUGCAUUUGUGCUCUGUGGUGGUGUUUGGUGCAGUUGCAGGAGUGCUCUGUGGUGGUGUUCGGUGUAGUUGUAGUAGUGCUCUGUGGUGGUGUUUGGUGCAGUUGCAGGAGUGCUCUGUGGUGGUGUUUGGUGUAGUUGCAUUUGUGCUCUGUGGUGGUGUUUGGUGCAGUUGCAUUUGUGCUCUGUGGUGGUGUUUGGUGCAGUUGCAGGAGUGCUCUGUGGUGGUGUUUGGUGUAGUUGCAGUAGUGCUCUGUGGUGGUGUUUGGUGUAGUUGCAGGAGUGCUCUGUGGUGGUGUUUGGUGUAGUUGCAUUUGUGCUCUGUGGUGGUGUUUGGUGUAGUUGCAUUUGUGCUCUGUGGUGGUGUUUGGUGUAGUUGUAGUAGUGCUCUGUGGUGGUGUUUGGUGUAGUUGCAUUUGUGCUCUGUGGUGGUGUUUGGUGUAGUUGCAUUUGUGCUCUGUGGUGGUGUUUGGUGUAGUUGCAUUUGUGCUCUGUGGUGGUGUUUGGUGUAGUUGCAUUUGUGCUCUGUGGUGGUGUUUGGUGUAGUUGCAUUUGUGCUCUGUGGUGGUGUUUGGUGUAGUUGCAUUUGUGCUCUGUGGUGGUGUUUGGUGUAGUUGCAGCAGUGCUCUGUGGUGGUGUUUGGUGUAGUUGCAGUAGUGCUCUGUGGUGGUGUUUGGUGCAGUUGCAGGAGUGCUCUGUGGUGGUAUGUGGUGUAGUUGCAGUAGUGCUCUGCGGUGGCGAGUGGAGGAGAGAGAUGACUCCUAACCGGGUCCACUCGCGAGCAUUAGAGAAGCUCCCUGUGAUCACUGGCUUUGUACCUGCCUUUCCUUUGUUAGGUGUUGUGGUCCAUAGGGCUCUCUCAGGGAGAGAGCAGCAGGACCCUUCACAGCAGGUCCUUUGGAGGGAGGUAUGCCUUGUCACUCCACUCACUCUGCAAUCCCCGGCACCUAACUCUUCUCAGCGUUGAAAAUGAC
rnacentral:lncRNA from 1 species